AGUGAACGCUGGCGGUAGGCCUAACACAUGCAAGUCGAACGGCAGCACAGUAAGAGCUUGCUCUUACGGGUGGCGAGUGGCGGACGGGUGAGGAAUACAUCGGAAUCUACUUUUUCGUGGGGGAUAACGUAGGGAAACUUACGCUAAUACCGCAUACGACCUACGGGUGAAAGCAGGGGAUCUUCGGACCUUGCGCGAUUGAAUGAGCCGAUGUCGGAUUAGCUAGUUGGCGGGGUAAAGGCCCACCAAGGCGACGAUCCGUAGCUGGUCUGAGAGGAUGAUCCGCCACACUGGAACGGAGACACGGUCCAGACUCCUACGGGAGGCAGCAGUGGGGAAUAUUGGACAAUGGGCGCAAGCCUGAUCCAGCCAUACCGCGUGGGUGAAGAAGGCCUUCGGGUUGUAAAGCCCUUUUGUUGGGAAAGAAAAGCAGCAGGUUAAUACCCCGCUGUUCUGACGGUACCCAAAGAAUAAGCACCGGCUAACUUCGUG
rnacentral:rRNA from 1 species